CCUACGGGAGGCAGCAGUGGGGAAUUUUGGACAAUGGGCGCAAGCCUGAUCCAGCAAUGCCGCGUGCAGGAAGAAGGCCUUCGGGUUGUAAACUGCUUUUGUACGGAACGAAACGGUCUGGGUUAAUACCUCGGGRUAAUGACGGUACCGUAAGAAUAAGCCCCGGCU
rnacentral:rRNA from 1 species